AAGUAGCGGCGAGCGAACGCGGAUUAGCCCAAACCAAUGUUGUUACGGCAAUAUUGGGGUUGUAGGACCACGACAUUUGAUGCAUGAUGAACUAGAACAAGUUGGAAAGCUUGGCCAUAGACGGUGAUAGCCCGGUAUAAGUAAAGCGUGCGUAGAUAGUGGUAUCCUGAGUAGUGCGGGGCACGUGAAACCCUGUAUGAAUCAGUCGGGACCAUCCGAUAAGGCUAAAUACUCCUGAGAGACCGAUAGUGAACUAGUACCGUGAGGGAAAGGUGAAAAGAACCCUGAAUAAGGGAGUGAAAUAGACCCUGAAACCAUACGCCUACAAGCGGUCGGAGCCAAUUUAUUGGUGACGGCGUGCCUUUUGCAUAACGA
rnacentral:rRNA from 1 species